rnacentral:rRNA from 1 species
GACGGGGGGGGCAAGUGUUCUUCGGAAUGACUGGGCGUAAAGGGCACGUAGGCGGUGAAUCGGGUUGAAAGUGAAAGUCGCCAAAAAGUGGCGGAAUGCUCUCGAAACCAAUUCACUUGAGUGGGACAGAGGAGAGUGGAAUUUCGUGUGUAGGGAUGAAAUCCGUAGAUCUACGAAGGAACGCCAAAAGCGAAGGCAGCCCCCUGGGCUGAGAUUGACGCUCAGGCACGAAAGCGUGGGGAGCAAACAGG